rnacentral:rRNA from 1 species
UACGAAGGGGGCUAGCGUUGCUCGGAUUUACUGGGCGUAAAGCGCACGUAGGCGGAUCGUUAAGUCGGGGGUGAAAUCCUGGAGCUCAACUCCAGAACUGCCUUCGAUACUGGCGAUCUUGAGUCCGGAAGAGGUGAGUGGAACUCCUAGUGUAGAGGUGGAAUUCGUAGAUAUUCGGAAGAACACCAGUGGCGAAGGCGGCUCACUGGCCCGGUACUGACGCUGAUGUGCGAAAGCGUGGGGAGCAAACAGG